rnacentral:rRNA from 1 species
UUGGGAAUCUUGCACAAUGGGGGAAACCCUGAUGCAGCGACGCCGCGUGGAGGAUGACGGCCCUAGGGUUGUAAACUCCUUUUUCAGGGAAAGACUUAGGACGGUACCCUGAGAAUAAGCUCCGGCUAACUACGUGCCAGCAGCCGCGGUAAGACGUAGGGAGCAAGCGUUGUCCGGAUUUACUGGGCGUAAAGCGCACGUAGGCGGCUUGUUAAGUGAGAAGUGAAAUCUCCAGCGCUCAACGCGGAAACUGCUUCUCAUACUGGCAAGCUUGAGGGUUGUAGAGGUGACUAGAAUUCCUGGUGUAGCGGUGACAUGCAUAGAUAUCAGGAGGAAUACCCGAGGCGAAGGCGGGUCACUGGGCAACUCCUGACGCUGAGGUGCGAAAGCGUGGGUAGCAAACAGG